rnacentral:rRNA from 1 species
GGCGACCGGCAAACGGGUGCGGAACACGUACGCAACCUUCCUUCGAGUGGGGAAUAGCCCAGAGAAAUUUGGAUUAAUACCCCGUAAGAUCGUGGACUGGCAUCAGUCAGCGAUAAAAGCUCCGGCACUUGAAGAUGGGCGUGCGCCUGAUUAGGUAGUUGGUGAGGUAACGGCUCACCAAGCCGACGAUCAGUAACUGGCGUGAGAGCGCGACCAGUCACACGGGCACUGAGACACGGGCCCGACUCCUACGGGAGGCAGCAGUAAGGAAUAUUGGUCAAUGGACGCAAGUCUGAACCAGCCAUGCCGCGUGGAGGAUGAAGGUCCUCUGGAUUGUAAACUUCUUUUAUCUGGGAAGAAAUGUGGAUUUUCUAAUCUAUUUGACGGUACCAGAUGAAUAAGCACCGGCUAACUCCGUGCCAGCAGCCGCGGUAAUACGGAGGGUGCAAGCGUUAUCCGGAUUCACUGGGUUUAAAGGGUGCGUAGGCGGAUUUGUAAGUCCGUGGUGAAAUCUCCGAGCUUAACUCGGAAACUGCCAUGGAUACUAUAAGUCUUGAAUGUUGUGGAGGUUUGCGGAAUAUGUCAUGUAGCGGUGAAAUGCU